CUACGUUGGUGACAAGCGUUAUCCGGAUUUACUGGGCGUAAAGGGCGUGUAGGCGGUCUUGCAAGUCAGAAGUGAAAUUCCUGAGCUCAACUCGGGCGCUGCUUCUGAAACUGCAGGACUUGAGUGCUGGAGGGGAUAGCGGAAUUCCUAGUGGAGCGGUAAAAUGCGCAGAUAUUAGGAAGCACACCGGUGGCGAAGGGGGCUAUCUGGACAGUAGCUGACCCUGAGGCGCGAAAGCGUGGGGAUAAAACAGGAUUAGAGCCCCUGGUAUUCCACGCCGUAAACGAUUAUAACUAACCGUCGGGGGGUAGACUUCCGGCAGCCAAGCGAAAGCGAUAAGUCAUCCACCUGGGGAGUACGGCCGCAAGGCUGAAACUCAAAUGAAUUGACGGGG
rnacentral:rRNA from 1 species